CUACCACAUCCAAGGAUGGCAGCAGGCGCGCAAAUUACCCAAUCCCGACACGGGGAGGUAGUGACAAUAAAUAACAAUACGGGGUUCUUUUGGAUCUUGUAAUUGGAAUGAGUACAAUUUAAAUCUCUUAACGAGGAACAAUUGGUGGGCAAGUCUGGUGCCAGCAGCCGCGGUAAUUCCAGCUCCAAUAGCGUAUAUUAAAGUUGUUGCAGUUAAAAAGCUCGUAGUUGAAUUUCGGGAUCAAAUUGUCGGUCGUGCCUCGGUACGUACUGGCGUNAUUGGUUCCUCCCUUCUGAAGAACCGCGAUGUCGUUAAUUUGGUGUCGCGGGGAAUCAGGACUGUUACUUUGAAAAAAAUAGAGUGUUUAAGCAGGCUCGCGCCUGAAUACAUAAGCAUGGAAUAAUGAAAUAGGACGUUUGAUUCUAUUUUGUUGGUUUCUAGGAUCGACGUAAUGAUUAUUAGGGAUAGUUGGGGCAUUAGUAUUCUAUUGUCAGAGGUGAAUUCUUGGAUUUAAUUGAAGACUAACUACUGCGAAAGCAUUUGCCAAGAAUGUUUCAUUAAUCAAGAACGAAAGUUAAGGGAUCGAAGACGAUCAGAUACCGUCGUAGUCUUAACCAUAAACUAUGCCGACUAGGGAUCGGAUGAUGUUAAUUUUUUAAUGACUCAUUCGGCGCCUUACGGGAAACCAAAGUGUUUGGUUUCCGGGGGGAGUAUGUUCGCAAGGCUGAAACUUAACGGAAAUGACGGAAGGGCACCACCAGGGGUGGAGCCUGCGGCUUAAUUUGACUCAACACGGGGAAACUCACCAGGUCCAGACAUAGUAAGGAUUGACAGAUUGAGAGCUCUUUCUUGAUUCUAUGGGUGGUGGUGCAUGUCCGUUCUUAGUUGGUGAAGUGAUUUGUCUGGUUAAUUCCGUUAACGAACGAGACCUUAACCUGCUAAAUAGCUAGGCUUAACUUCGGUUAGGCCGUCAGCUUCUUAGAGGGACUAUCGGUGUUUAACCGAUGGAAGUUUGAGGCAAUAACAGGUCUGUGAUGCCCUUAGAUAUUCUGGGCCGCACGCGCGCUACACUGAUGAAGUCAACGAGUUCUUAUACUUUAUCGGAAGAUAUGGGUAAUCUUUUGAAACUUCAUCGUGAUGGGGAUAGAGCUUUGCAAUUAUUGCUCUUAAACGAGGAAUCCCUAGUAAGCACAAGUCAUCAGCUUGUGCUGAUUGCGU
rnacentral:rRNA from 1 species